rnacentral:sRNA from 1 species
CAUACAUACAUACAUAUCAUCCGAUAAUAGCGUGGCACGUAGACAUGCGAUCUGGAGGAUCCUACAAAUGAAUGGCGUCCGAAAAAGGAACUCAAUUUACGUAGGAUCAUAGCCUCAGAUGGAGUCCCGGUAAACCUAGCAAUCCCGUGCAAUCGUUCCAUUGUCCAGAAUGUGAGUCAAUACUACAUCGUGUGCGAAUGCACAGAGAGCUCUGCAGUCCCGGAUGUUUUUUCCGAUCACGAGAAGGCGUGGAACGCCUACGCUUGCAAGGAACAGCAAGGAUAAUGCACUUUAGGAAAUGCUUUAUGUUAUUAUUAUGCAUACAUAUAUAAGAUUAUUGUAACACAUACUCACAUGCCAGAACGUACCUAUGAACUUACAUAAUUAAACAUAUAAAUAGUUACAUCAUUAAAUAAUAUAUUUGUAAAAAAUAAAUGAAA